UGGGGAAUUUUGGACAAUGGGCGAAAGCCUGAUCCAGCAAUGCCGCGUGUGUGAAGAAGGCCUUCGGGUUGUAAAGCACUUUUGUCCGGAAAGAAAUCCUUGGCUCUAAUACAGUCGGGGGAUGACGGUACCGGAAGAAUAAGCACCGGCUAACUACGUGCCAGCAGCCGCGGUAAUACGUAGGGUGCAAGCGUUAAUCGGAAUUACUGGGCGUAAAGCGUGCGCAGGCGGUUUGCUAAGACCGAUGUGAAAUCCCCGGGCUCAACCUGGGAACUGCAUUGGUGACUGGCAGGCUAGAGUAUGGCAGAGGGGGGUAGAAUUCCACGUGUAGCAGUGAAAUGCGUAGAGAUGUGGAGGAAUACCGAUGGCGAAGGCAGCCCCCUGGGCCAAUACUGACGCUCAUGCACGAAAGCGUGGGGGAGCAAAACAGGAUUAGAUACCCCUGGGUAGUCCACGCCCUAAAACGAUGUCAACUAGUUGUUGGGGAUUCAUUUCCUUAGUAACGUAGCUAACGCGUGAAGUUGACCGCCUGGGGAGUACGGUCGCAAGAUUAAAACUUAAAUGAAUUGACGGGGUC
rnacentral:rRNA from 1 species